UGAUGUAUAACGGGAUCCGCUCUCAGGGAGGAGUGAAGUCCGGCAUGUGGUCCUCCAUCUACUUCAUCGUGCUCACACUGUUUGGAAACUACACUCUGCUGAAUGUGUUCUUGGCCAUCGCUGUGGAUAACCUCGCCAACGCACAAGAACUCACCAAGGAUGAAGAGGAGGCGGAGGCGGCGUUUAAUCAGAAACACGCUCUGCAGAAAGCGAAGGAAGUCGGGCCGCUGUCCUCCUUCAUGUCC